rnacentral:RNase_P_RNA from 1 species
UUAGCCAGACGAUAGCGCUUAAGAAUUUAAGUGAGGAAAGUCCGAGCACCAUAGGACAAGUGCACUUGAUAACAUCAAGCUAGGGUGACCUAAGGAAAAGGGCAACAGAGAUAAACCGCCAACCGCAAUUAAAUUGCAGGGGCAAGGGUGGAAAAGUGGGGUAAGAGCCCACUCAAAAUUAUGGUGACAUAAUUUUGCUGUAAACUCUGCACGGUGCAAGAUGUAAGGCAAAUAGGGCUGUCCGCCUGCCUUCAAUAUCGCAUGAACAUUAUGGCAACAUAAUGUCAAGAUUGAUUAUCGUCUAAAACAGAACUCGGCUUAUAGACUAACUUU